UAGAGCUUAUCAUUGAACUUGCAUACGGCAGCCAGAAGGAUAAAAAAUGCGGUUUGGGGAGUAGGAAGGAAGGAGAGAAUUGAUCUGUAUAAGAAUCUACUCACCUCUACCUUUAUCCAUUAUCCUCCAAGAUGAAUUUAGGUCAGUCCAGUUAAGAGCCUGGACACACAACAAAAUGAUCGAGGACGUAGAAUCUGAAAGAGAAAUCUCAAGAACGUUAAUGCAGAGCAGCGUAGAUCCAGUCUCUGGGGAGCAGUGCACUGCUGAGUCCAAGUUUACACUGCACUCAGACGUGUGGAGCAGCUGGGAAGCUAAAGCAACCUAGAGUUAGAAACAU
rnacentral:lncRNA from 1 species